UCUAGUGGACGGUUCUUCAUAAACAGCUCGUCAACCACCUCGGUCGCUUGCUAGCCAACAUAGCCGAAAGAUUCAAGCUAUUUAUACGCUUUCGGUGUAUAUUACCUACUGUGUUAUAGACACACUUCUGUCCUAUCUACUUGUUAACCUAUUUAAUUUAAUAUUACGUUAAUUUUUAUUAGUCAGCUAUAGUAGCUGGCUGGUUAAAUUAGCACUAGCCUAGUCGCUAAUGAUAGCUAGCUAGCUAACAUCCCCGAACAUGAGCUCCAUAAACUUCUCCCCUCCUGUUAAAGAAGAGGAUAAGGUCUGCUGGACGGAGAAAGGAGGUCUGUGGCUGAACAUUGUCGUGAAAGAGGAGGAGGAAGAAGAGGAUGUCACAGUAAAACAAGAAGUAGAGGGUGAGGCUGUUACAGUGAAAGAGGACGACGUUUCAUUGAAAGAAGAGGAGGACGCGUUCAGAGUUAAAGAGGAGGAAGAUGAGAAAGAGGAGGAUGUAGUUUUUGGUGUGAAAGAGGAGGGGGAGAUAACUGUCACAUUGGAGGAAGAAGAGGAGGUUGGAGAUCUGUUUAACCCCAGUUUUCUGUCCUCAGAUAAAGAGCUCUCUGAAAGCCAGUCUACAUAUGAAGAGAUCCCAAUGAAGAGCAGUGGUUCUCAGUCCUGGGGACUCAGAGGCACAUUGUUGUUUUUGUCUCAGCACUGCACAGCUGAUUCAAAUGAUCAACUCAUCAUCAAGCUUCAAGUGAUACCUUGUAACUGGAGAUUCCUUCCAAACGAUUGCCUACAGUUACCGUGUAGGGCACUGCAAGGUUGGGUGACCAGGGUCAUCUGGGACUGUCUCCUGGAGGAGUUCAGGUGUGUGAAGGCUACCUGUGUCCUGCGUAACUUCAUGAGGAUGGACACGCGGACCAGGAGGGGAUCUGCAGAUCGCCGCCGUGUGCCAGAGGAGGAGUCUGCUGCUCUGCAGGAUGUUUCAAGGAUGGGGUCCAACCACGCAGCAAGAGAGGCAAUCCGUGUGCAGGAGAUCUUCACCUCCUACUUCUUCAAAGAAGGUGCUGUUCUCUGGCAACACCAUAGACUACACUAUGCACAACCAAAGGCUCUUUUAAGAGGGUGCUGUUCCCUGGCAACACCAUAGACUACACUAUGCACAACCAAAGGCUCUUCAAAGAGGUUGCUGUUCCCUGGCAACACCAUAGACUACACUAUGCACAACCAAAGGCUAUUUUAAGAGGGUGCUGUCCUCUGGCAACACCAUAGACUACAUUAUGCACAACCAAAGGCUCUUUUAAGAGCUAUUCACAUUGCAAUAAGAGUAUUCUUCCAUUUACUUAGCUAUGUCAACUGCAGUUAUUCAAUUCACAGUUUCUCUCCCUUUGAUUUCUACUUCUCAGGUGAGGGUGCUGUUUAGGUGAGGGUGUGAUGUCUGUGCAAAAACAAAACAGGCUAUUUUAAAUCACUAAUAUUGAAGAAAUGUAGAACAAUUAGACAUCCUAUAACCCACACCUACACACUCAUGUAUCAAUCUGAUUGAUGGAUUGUGUUGUGCAGUAAGCAGGCUCAGGUGUAUAACUGUGGCUCCUUCCACCUUCAAAGAAUAGGCAAGAGGGCCAACCAUGGAGAAUAGUAAGACACUUCAUUAUUUCUAUAACUACGCUAUAUUGUUUGUCCUUGUGUGUCCGUUCAUGUUUUUCAGCAUAAAGUACUCUGCAGCCACUAAGUGUGGUGUGGACACCAGGUGAGGCCACACACAGAUUCCUAUUGAACACUGUGGCUUUAACUACCUUAUUUUCUCAAUAAGUCUCUAUCCUUCACUUCAUCCCUCUCUCCCCUUCUCCCUAAAUCCUCUAGGUUAUAUCAGCUGUGUCGGUGAACCCCUCCUGCAUCUGAACUGGCUACAUAGAGGGCACAGCAUGAUCAGAGAUAUGUUUUGAUGUGAGAGGAUGCCAACCCCCAGUCCCAUCAUCGCCACCUCACCUGCUUUUAAGAUAACCUUGGGGCCGACUAGAGACACUAUUAUGUAAUUGUGAUGAACUGAGAGAAUAUUUAGGUAGCACUGUGUUUCAUUAAUCAUGUGCUGCCUUCCCUGCUCCUAUGUGCUUACCUCUUUCCCUUUCUGUCUUUUACACCUCUCUCUCCACCUCCUCUUUCUUCCUCUGUUUUUAUAAUGCACAACAGAUGUGCAUUGAAGUACAGAUUGAACUUGUAUUUAUAACACUUGGAUAAUGAGCUUUUCAAUAAAGCUUUUCACAUUCUCUA